AAAUAGAAGACCUGAUAAGGUGGGGAUACCUCAGAAAGUAUGUGCAGAACCAACCUACGCAGCUGUCGAGUGACUCUCAGCCUCAACCGCACCCCGAUGAGGAAAGCUCAUGCUCAAUCUACAGUGGACGUGAUCAAUGUGAUCUCGAUGGGUCGAAACUUCGAGGAGCCGAUGACUCAGAAAGCUAUCCCAAACAUCGACAGUUAAACGAUGACAUUAUUUUCUCUG
rnacentral:lncRNA from 1 species